UGCACGUGCUCGAAAGAAGCACGUGUGGUGUAAAAUAUAGUGAAUUGGUAUGUUAAUCGUGAUCUUUAAUUUUUUUAGUGCAUGGUUAACUUCCGUUUCUUCGCUUCUAUAGCCUGCAUAAAAAUUUAUUCGCAGCUGCUUGAUCUUUCCGCGUCGUUUCGCACCGCGCAAACGACCGUAGACACUCGGCCAAUACAUACUUAUCAAAUGCAGGCGGCAUAGUCGGUACAAAACGAUAUGUACGAAUGAGAAAAGGACAAUACGGCAAAUCACGCAAGACCAAGCGAGAUAAGAGAGAAGAACGAAAUGGGUGCCUGUACCCAUGUACGAAUAUACAUAAAUGUGUGCGCGUGCGCGUUUGCAUGUACACAUUCACAGAGCAUCCAACGUAUGUCACGACAUUACAUGGGUUGCUGCGUUUUUACGUUGCCGGAGAGCAAUGCGUACACCAUGGCGGAAGUGCGUAAGAGAACGCCGACUGCCAGAGGAAAGAAAAUAGAAAGAAUAGGGAAGAGAAGAAGAGCAGAGAAGAAAAAAAAGAAAAAACUAAAGAAGGGAGAGAGAACGAAGGCAGAAGAGAACUCGGAUGUGCCGUGGAGCAGAGUCGUGUGAGGUGAGGGCGCACCUGGACCUUCUUCUUCAUGAGCGUAUAAGGGCUCUCUGCCUUCCACUCCACGAUUCAACCACCCAACGGACUGCCUCCAGUUACGUGUACCAAAGUUUCUCCUUUCUCUGUUUUCGCCCCUUUCUUUCUCUCUUUCGUUUGGCUCCUUUUUCUCUAUUCUUUUUUCUCUUUUCCUUUUUAUCGUUGUUUUUACGUUUUCUCUUUUUCUCAGCCGCAUAGAUCGCAUUGGAAUCUGUAUUCGUCGACAUAAACGCAUUUUACAGCUUUAUCGACGAGAGAAAGAACGCUUGAUAUUUUGUGAAAAAAAUGGUAUCCAUUUCUCUGGUGUCAUACAUAAAAGAAAUGAGGAACAAGGAUAUACGAUAUAUUUGCAAAAAGAUAUCAAAUUUUGAACGAUUUGUAAAUAUUUAAAAUUAUUUUAAAUUUCUUUUUUCUCUUAUUAUUCUAAUACUUAAAUAUUUUCAGUUUCGUAUCCAUUCGAAAGAAAAAAAAUUGAUAACGCAAAUAUUCUAAAUGAAACGCUGAAAUAUAUGCUUAAAUUAUAUUAUGUUUAUCUUAUGUUUUUCUUUAAAGGAAAAACAAGGAUUUAAAAAGAAGUGAGUGAGACGAGUAUUGUCCGAAUCCAAGCAGAGGCAGUAGGAAAUGGGAACUCGUAUACCCGUAUGGAAAGUACAGAGUGAACGCAUUACACGCAAGCGACGACUCGUACUCGAUGAAGAUGUAAGGGCCGCAUUGUGUCCUGCAUCGUCGAGAGAACUCGAGAAUAAAGAGAGAGAAAGAGAAAGUAGUACACAUCAUGUGAUAAAGAAAGAGAGAGAGGAGAGAGAGAGAGAGAGGCCGGGAACCUCUAACUACUAACGUGGGGUAGAUCUCGCCGCGGAUAGUGCUUUAUUUCAUCAAAGGGACAACAAGGAAGCCGAGAUAACGCCGCAAGCUUCACAGAAAGGAGCACUUCGGAGUGGAGGAGUAUGCGCGGCACGCACAACGGCUCGAUCAUCCAUAAUCGCGUGCAGACGCAAUAACCAGGCUCGAGAUGCAUCCUCUGCGAAAUUUCUCAAAGAGAAACGCGGUAUUUCAUCGAAGGGCAUUGAUAGAAGUAACUUUUAUUAGUUUUAAAAAAGUAGUAGAAUUGGUUGGAAAGUUUGAUACGUUAAAAAAGAUUAAAUUAACGAAAGAUAUAAUAAUUAUAACUGAGCAAUUAGAUCAAUUAGAAAAUUAUAAUAAUAAAAUUACAAUAAUCGAACAGAGAUGAAUGAGUUGAAGAAGCGUAGUGUGAGAAGCUGAGACUGAAAGAGUUGUUUACACUUACUCAUGCGGGUUAUCGGAAGUAUCGACUUGGAUCAUCAUACGAUCAGAGGAUUUUAUGCGGGUAAUGCAAAUUAAAUGGGUCGUGCAAAAUACGAUACUCUUUCCAUUGUGCUGUUUAUUCAUCAUAAAUAAUAUAUCUUUUAUUAUUAACGUCAGCUAAGAUCAUAUCGAUUCCCAAAGUUUGCCUGACUAAAGAGAUCGAGCGUCUCCAUUUCCGAUGAAACGGUUCUACAAUAUGGGUUCCAGAUUUCAGGGUGACGAUAGAGGGUUAGAGAGAGAGAGAGAGAGAGAGAGAGAGAGAGAGAGAGAGAGAGAAAGGAGAGGGAGAGAGAGAAGGAAAGAGAACAAGAGCGUUGCUCGCUAUUGUUUUCUCGAGUGGUACUCGCUGGUUCAAUGCUCGCCCGCUCUGGUAGACCGGUACCAGAUGUACCCGACCGCCUGGUUUCAACUUUGAUACCAUACAACGCCAUGCGUCACGGUUACAGCACCUAGCUUCCCAAAAUUUUUUUUAUUCUUCGUAUCAAAAAUAACACCUUACUAUUGUUAAAAAUUGAACUUUUUGUUUUAGAAAGGAUUGAUUGAGAGGAUUUUGUGAAAAUAUGAAGAUAUGAAAAAAUUCGCGGAGGAGAAUAUCGCGAAUUAAUUAAAUUAUAUUUCUAUACUUUUUUUUUUUUAUGUUCAAGUGAAUACAAUAAAAAAGUUUCCACGUGUGAUGUGCAAGUUAGUGUAUAAUAAAAAGGAUUCAUAUAUUCCUUUUAAUUGGUUGUACACGAACGAUAUGUAUACACGACGGAUAUCCGAUGAAACUGAAGUCAUGACAACAAGGCUAUAAAAUAAGGUUAAAAUUUUUUUGACAAAAUGAGAUUAUUCAUCAUAUUCUAUUAUAUAUGACGAAAUCUACAGGAAUGAAUAAU